GUGCUUGCUUCGGCAGCACAUAUACUAAAAUUGAAAC
rnacentral:snRNA from 1 species